rnacentral:tRNA from 1 species
GCGGGGAUUCCGGAGUGGUCAAACGGGCAGGACUUAAGAUCCUGUGUGCUUAGUGCCUACGUAGGUUCGAAUCCUACUCCCCGCA